GAUGAACGCUGGCGGCGUGCCUAAUACAUGCAAGUCGAGCGAACGGACGAGAAGCUUGCUUCUCUGAUGUUAGCGGCGGACGGGUGAGUAACACGUGGAUAACCUACCUAUAAGACUGGGAUAACUUCGGGAAACCGGAGCUAAUACCGGAUAAUAUUUUGAACCGCAUGGUUCAAAAGUGAAGGACGGUCUUGCUGUCACUUAUAGAUGGAUCCGCGCUGCAUUAGCUAGUUGGUAAGGUAACGGCUUACCAAGGCAACGAUGCAUAGCCGACCUGAGAGGGUGAUCGGCCACACUGGAACUGAGACACGGUCCAGACUCCUACGGGAGGCAGCAGUAGGGAAUCUUCCGCGAAGGGCGAAAGCCUGACGGAGCAACGCCGCGUGAGUGAUGAAGGUCUUCGGAUCGUAAAACUCUGUUAUUAGGGAAGAACAUAUGUGUAAGUAACUGUGCACAUCUUGACGGUACCUAAUCAGAAAGCCACGGCUAACUACGUG
rnacentral:rRNA from 1 species